AAGCCAACUCUAGCCCCACCCAAAACCAAACUAAUCUUCACCACCAAAAUAAAUUAAAACAUUAGAUCCAACCUAGUAUAGGCGAUAGAAAAGUUAUCCAUCGGACGCAAUAGAGUAAUGUACCGUAAGGGAAAGAUGAAAUAACAAUGAAAGUCAAGCGCCAAAAAGCAAAGACCAACCCUUGUACCUUUUGCAUCAUGAUUUAGCAAGUAUUAGGCAGACAAACAGACCUCCAGCCUGCCCCCCCGAAACCUAAGCGAGCUACUCCCAAGCAGCUAAACUAUCUUGAGCGAACCCGUCUCUGUUGCAAAAGAGUGGGAUGACUUGUUAGUAGAGGUGAAAAGCCAACCGAGCUGGGUGAUAGCUGGUUGUCCACGAAAUGAAUUUUAGUUCCCCCUUGACUCCCCUCCAAGGCCACUUAACCUGAACCCUAAUGUAGUUAGUUCAAGGGUAACUUAAAGGAGGUACAGCUCCUUUAAAACAAAGUACAUAUUACCAGAGAGGAUAAGCUCAACACAACUCUAACUGUGGGCCCUCAAGCAGCCAUCACCAAAGAGUGCGUCAAAGCUCUAUACCAAAAAAUUUUAUUACACAAGCGACUCCCUCUUCCUCAGUGGACUAAUCUAUUACCAAUAGAAGAAUUAAUGCUAAAAUGAGUAACUAGGGUAAACCCUCUAAGGCGUAAGCUUACAUCUUACAUUAUUAACAAACUUUGAUAUAUAUCCAAACCACUACAAGACCUUAUAUAUAUACUAUUGUUAACCCAACCUCAACCGGGACGCCUACUCUAGACCGAUCCAAACCUGCAAAAGGAACUAGGCAAGCCUAAGGCCCGACUGUUUACCAAAAACAUAGCCUCCAGCAAUCCAAGUAUUGGAGGUGAUGCCUGCCCAGUGACUCUAUGUUCAACGGCCGCGGUAUCCUAACCGUGCGAAGGUAGCGCAAUCAAUUGUCUCAUAAAUCGAGACUUGUAUGAAUGGCUAAACGAGGUCUUAACUGUCUCUUGCAGGCAAUCAGUGAAAUUGAUCCUCCUGUGCAAAAGCAGGAAUAACCACAUAAGACGAGAAGACCCUGUGGAACUUAAAAAUCAGCAGCCACCCUUCCUCCCUCUUCCCCUAUCUGGCCUAUUUUCAAAGAGGCGCUGGCCCGCAUUUUUUGGUUGGGGCGACCUUGGAGCAAAAUUUACCCUCCAAAAACUAGAACAACACUCUAAACCAAGGUCAACUGACCAACGUGCUAACAGCAACCAGACCCAAUAUGACAUUGACCAAUGAACCAAGCUACCCCAGGGAUAACAGCGCAAUCUCCUCCAAGAGCCCCCAUCGACGAGGAGGUUUACGACCUCGAUGUUGGAUCAGGACAUCCUAGUGGUGCAGCCGCUACUAAGGGUUCGUUUGUUCAACGAUUAACAGUCCUACGUGAUCUGAGUUCAGACCGGAGCAAUCCAGGUCGGUUUCUAUCUAUGAUAAACUUUUUCUAGUACGAAAGGACCGAAAAAGUAAGACCCAUGCUACAAGUACGUCUUCACCCCAAGUAAUGAAGCCAACUAAAUUACUUAAGGCCAUCACAUUAAUGUCCUAAAAAAGGACCG
rnacentral:rRNA from 1 species